UCCCAUAUAGUGUAGUGGUUUAGCAUUCCAGAUUUUCAGGGUUCACUCCAAUCUUCUGGCGACCCGGGUUCGAACCCCGGUAUGGGAA